AUUUAGGUAGUUUAUUUUAAAAUAUUAAUUUGUGGAAUUAAAGAUGUAAAGAUUUACCUUAAGUA
rnacentral:tRNA from 1 species